rnacentral:rRNA from 1 species
UUGGAGGGCAAGUCUGGUGCCAGCAGCCGCGGUAAUUCCAGCUCCAAUAGCGUAUAUUAAAGUUGUUGCAGUUAAAAAGCUCGUAGUUGAAUUUCGGGAUCAAUAUUUCGGUCAUGCCGUUGGUAUGCACUGUUAUCAUUGAUUUCUCACCUUCUAAAGAACCGUAAUGCCAUUAAUUUGGUGUUACGGGGAAUUAGGACUGUUACCUUGAAAAAAUUAGAGUGUUUAAAGCAGGCUCACGCUUGAAUACAUUAGCAUGGAAUAAUGAAAUAGGACAUCCGAUUCUAUUUUGUUGGUUUCUAGGAUCGAUGUAAUGAUUAAUAGGGAUAGUUGGGGGCAUUAGUAUUCAAUUGUCAGAGGUGAAAUUCUUGGAUUUAUUGAAGACUAACUACUGCGAAAGCAUUUACCAAGGAUGUUUUCAUUAAUCAAGAACGAAAGUUAGGGGAUCGAAGACGAUCAGAUACCGUCGUAGUCUUAACCAUAAACCAUGCCGACUAGGGAUCGGAUGAUGUUAAUUUUUUAAUGACUCAUUCGGCGCCUUACGGGAAAC